CGAGAACGGCCCGGUACGGCCCGGAGCGGUGGGGGCGGACUCGCACCCUGGGGGCUGCGCACACGCGCACGGACACGGACACACGCGCCGACAUGGCGGGGACACGCGCGGCAGGGACCCCCGUGUCCGCACAACCCCCCCGAGGGUGUCACUUGCUCAUGCACCCCAGUGCCCCCAGUACCUGCCCCUUGCACACCCGCCCCGCGCACAUCCCGGUGCCCCCCCCUUGCACACGCACACACUGCACACCCUGGUACACGCGUGUUGCACCCACACGUGUGUGUUCACACGCACACGAAGCCCCCUGCACACCCGUGGCGUGCACCCACCACCUUGCACACACCCCUACACGCUCACGCAUCCCCUUGCACACGCACACACAAACCCUUGCACACACGUUUUCCGUGCCACACAUAGAUAUUGCACAUAGACACCCUCCUCGCAAAUUUACAUGCCCUUGCACACACACGCACCCUUGCACGCUCAGGCAGACCCGUUAUACACUGACACCUAAACCCCUCUAUAUUUGUGUGCAAACAAAAGAAUCCCCGUGUUCACACACCUGUGCACACCUUAGGUACAGCAGACGUGCACACAGGUGCGGGUGCACACAUGCAGCUUGCACACACACCCUUGCACACACACCGACGUUCACAGAGGCACGCACCCCCCUUGCCCACACUCCACACAGUUCAUACACACUGCCUUGCACACACAUGUACACUCACCCCUUGCACACUCACCUUUACACAUACACAGCCCUUACACACACCACCCCACCUUCAUACACACAGUCCUCGCACACCCCUGCUAUACAUCCCUUACACACUCACAGACCCCCUUGCACGCAUCCUCACCCUGACACACCCCUUGUACACUCACAGCCCCCCUUGUUUUCACACAUGCACACCCCCCUUGCGGAUGCCCCCACAUUUCCACGUGCCCUCAUGCCCAGCUUGGCACAGGGCACCCCCUCACUACGGCCCCCGCAACUCGGACCCCCACG
rnacentral:lncRNA from 1 species